CUGGCUCAGCUCAAGAUCAGAUAGCCUGCUCUUCCCCUGCCCCCGGACCCGAGCUGGCCUCUGCAGAGAAGGACGGCAUAAGGUAAAUGAUAGGACAAGAAGGGAAACAACUCGCCCAGGACAAAGUACUCUUCUCACAGCUGACUGCAGUAUUUACCUACAAGUGCGUGUUGCCCGGAGAACGUAUGCACUCGGAUGCUCACCAACUCACCCAGGGGAGGCAUGAGGAAAUUGGAAGUCAAGUUUA
rnacentral:lncRNA from 1 species